rnacentral:tRNA from 1 species
AUUUUCUUAAUAUAAUAAGUAUAUUUGUCUUCCAAACAAAAAGUCUAAAUAAUUAGAGAAAAUAC